ACUAGCUCAAGAAAAAACCCUCCAAGCCUUCAAUUAUUGCUGAUAAACAAAGUCCAUGGACUUGGUGAGACACUCAUUCCAUCAUCAACUGCUUUUGUUUUCCUUAAUUUCCUUGUCCUAUGUCUCUGGAACGCAAUUCAGCUUACCAAGGCUCGGAGCACUUCGAAGAACAAUCCGAAAUAAACUCGAUAUCGAAUCGAUUUCAUCACUUCCCAAGGAUUUCAAGACCUUUUUUUACAGCCAGACACUUGAUCACUUCAACUACAAACCCGAAAGUUUCACCAGCUUUCAACAAAGAUAUGUAAUUAAUUCUAAGUACUGGGGUGGUGCGAACACUAGUUCACCAAUCUUGGUGUAUUUUGGUGCGGAAGAAUCAUUGGAUUAUGAUUUAUCUGGAAUUGGUUUUCUCACCGAUAAUGCCCCUCGUUUCAAGGCUUUACUGAUAUAUAUAGAGCACCGGUUCUAUGGGAAAUCCAUACCAUGUGGAUCAAGGGAAGCCGCUUUGAGAAACGCCAGUAUUAGGGGUUAUUUCACCUCAGCUCAAGCUAUUGCAGAUUAUGCCGCCAUUAUUCUUCAUAUAAAGAAAACGUUCUUCGCAAAGAAUUCUCCGGUGAUUGUCAUUGGAGGAUCGUACGGGGGAAUGCUUGCUGCAUGGUUUCGGCUGAAAUAUCCACAUGUUGCUCUUGGAGCUCUUGCAUCCUCGGCUCCAAUUCUUUAUUUUGAUGAACUUGCACCACAUGUUGGUUACUACGCAAUUGUGACGAAGGAUUUCAAAGAAACUAGUGAAAGUUGCUAUGAAACUAUCCGAAAAUCAUGGGAUGAAAUUGAUAAAGUUGCUUCAAAGUCUAAUGGUCUUUCAAUUCUCAGCAUGAAGUUCAAAACUUGCGAAAAAUUGAAGAGAAGCUUCGAUCUUAAGGACUUUUUAGAUUCAAUAUAUUCUGAAGUAGCUCAAUAUGAUCAUCCCCCAAGUUAUCCCCUUAAUAUCAUCUGUCGUGGCAUCGAUGGAGCUCCUAAAGGGACCGAUAUACUCGGCCGAAUAUUCGCUGGUGUUGUUGCUUAUAUGGGAAAUAACUCAUGCUAUGACAUGAACGAAUUUAACCGUCCAAAUGAUGAAACAUAUAUCGGUUGGAGAUGGCAGACAUGUAGUGAGAUGGUGAUGCCUAUAGGCCAUGAAAACAAUGAUUCAAUGUUCCCACCAUCGCCAUUCAAUCUAACCAAGUUCAUAAGGAAGUGCAAGAGCUUAUUUGGUGUCCGACCUCGGCCACAUUGGGUGACAACUUACUAUGGAGGCCAUGAUUUAAAGUUGAUUCUCCAUAGAUUUGCCAGCAACAUCAUUUUCUCUAAUGGCCUCAGAGAUCCUUACAGCAGCGGCGGGGUAUUGGAGAACAUAUCAGAUAGUGUUGUUGCGGUAUAUACAGUAAAUGGAUCUCAUUGCUUGGAUAUAUUACCAGAAAAGAAAAGUGAUCCAGUAUGGUUGAUCAAGCAACGAAAAACCGAAGUUGGGAUAAUCGAAAGCUGGAUUUCAAAAUAUUAUACUGAUCUGAUCAUGUUCAGAGAUAGAACCAGAGUCUCAUCAUGAAUAUGAGCUGCUCCAAAUUAAUCAAAAGAGAAUAAAUUAUGUGGCCAUAUCAGAGUUGCAAUGUUGAAUAGUGAAAAUGCUGUACUGUAAGGAUAGGUUAAGGGUGAUGGUGGUCAUAUCUUUCACAGAGGAAAAGAAAAGAAACUGCAGAAAGCGUGAGCAAAGCCAAAAGCAAAGCAUCUGAUAUAACUUUUGAGCAAGAAAUGGGUGAGUUAAAGAAUGGAUAUAAAAACAAAAAAAUAUACAUAUGAAAGAUGAUGGAAGAUAUAUUGGGAAAAUGGGAGAACAUUCGAUGAAGGAUGGAUGGCCCUCCAUUAGAGAUAGUGAUUGCUGGUCAUUUGGGCUACAGAAAGGCAAUUCAGGGGUGCAUUUGCAGGCGUGGCCAUUAGUCUUUACAUAAUCUUUCAUCUUUUGGAACUUUCUUCAUUUUCUUUUUCUUAUAAGCUCUCUCUUGACUCGAUUACAUGAAUAUAGAUUCAAAAGGACCCAUGGUUGGCUAAAAAAACCCUGGUUUAUUAUAAUUCGUCUAGUUUUUAAUUAAUAUUUUCGUUUUACUUUUCUAUUAUAAAUAAAAUUAAUAUUUAUUACAUUAAUAA